UAUAGCAUAUGGGUUGUUGGCUAGAUGGUUCAUAUUUUCUGCAUUCUGCAUCAUAUUAACUCAAAAUAUGUCAUGAAUUUUGUGGAUAAAUUAACAUUUAAUCCCGCAUCUCCUAUUUUCAAAAUUAUCUGUUAUAGUCCUUCACUUUUCAUUCCAUCAAUUAAUGGGUCUCUCAAUUCCGUUCGUGAUAUGACAAGCUAAAUAUGUUGUUUGCUUUUCAACCCUUGUUCACUUACCCCCUUCUGCUCUUUGCUGACUUCUUCCUUGAUAAUUGUAGUCGGCUUUGAAGCAGGCGUUGUUCCUUUAAACCUCGAAGGCUUGGGCCCUCCAGACACCACAAUAAGCACCACUGCCACCUCUAUCCUUCCUCUCCAUUUUCCGUUUGCCACCUCUACCCACUUGUUAUGUAUUUUCAAAUUCACAAUCUUUUUCUUUUCUUCUUUGCUAUCGUUGUGAAUCCAAAUCCUAGGAACGAAGUGGUUCUUCACUUUUGGUUUGGUCAGAAAAAGUUGACAAAGUGUGGUUUUCCCUCGUCGAGCUAGUGAUUUCUCUAGACACAUUAUUUCAUCGUCGAAGCUUUAAGGCCUAGAACAAGAAUUCAGGCAAUGAAAUUCUCUAGCAUUAGAUAAGCUGGAUUGGGAUUGUCCAUUAUCUUGGGUUUCCAUUUGAAUUGUUGUUGUUGGAGGGUUUAAUAUUUUCUACAUUUGUCUUGAUCUUUGAUAAUUCUGUUUAAUUGGAGGAACUGAAUUGAAAUUGGAUGAAUUAUGCUCCGUUUUUUAAUUGGGUAAAAUUGGAUGAAAUUAUGCCCCCUUUUUUCAUUCGGAUGAAAGCACUUGGCGAUCGAGAAGUGCAGUGGGGUCACAAACGAUGGCUAUCGAUGUUUCGAGGAAUGGAGCAAAGGGGGAGAGCGGUUGCUACAGUUGCCAAUAUUUCAAGGGGAGGAGUUAUGUUUCAAGGCUAGCGGUUAAAGUUGCUGGAGUUGAGGGGGGGACAGAGAGAGCAAGAACGCUUCGGGUGCAGGCGUGCAGCAGAGGAAGAAACCUGUGGAAAAAGAGAAAUAACCGUAGAAUGUUUGGCUCUCCAUAAUCUUAUAUGAUUGAAGAGUUGUCAUUAUCUGUAAGCCAUCCAAGUAUAUGAUAUCCAAAAUCCAUUUCUUUAAA
rnacentral:misc_RNA from 1 species